GUUGUUGGGAAAGACCAGAGCCACCUGUGGACAGAUAAAUCACAAAGGUUAGACAGUGAAAUGAUAAUGGUUUAGGCCAGUGUUGUGAUGUCGGAAAGCCCCAAAUAGAGACGAUCUCCAAAAUAUGACAUCCUAAGAUAUGAAAACAACAAAUGAGGCUGUGGAUCCAGGACAAAGACGGCAGCAUGUUUGUAAUAGACUCACUCCAAACCACCUCAGGAGGAAGAGGAAACAGAGGGCACAUCAAAGAGCAGCAUGGGAAACAAUAACAUGUAGGCUGCUUGAGUAGGUCAUGUUUGAAAAGUACAAUAAAUGGACAA